GAUGAACGCUGGCGGCGUGCUUAACACAUGCAAGUCGAACGGAAAGGCUCCUGCUUGCAGGGGUACUCGAGUGGCGAACGGGUGAGUAACACGUGGGUGAUCUGCCCUGCACUUCGGGAUAAGCCUGGGAAACUGGGUCUAAUACCGGAUAGGACGAUGGUUUGGAUGCCAUUGUGGAAAGUUUUUUCGGUGUGGGAUGAGCUCGCGGCCUAUCAGCUUGUUGGUGGGGUAAUGGCCUACGAAGGCGUAGACGGGUAGCCGGCCUGAGAGGGUGUACGGCCACAUUGGGACUGAGAUACGGCCCAGACUCCUACGGGAGGCAGCAGUGGGGAAUAUUGCACAAUGGGCGCAAGCCUGAUGCAGCGACGCCGCGUGGGGGAUGACGGCCUUCGGGUUGUAAACUCCUUUCGCUAGGGACGAAGCGCAAGUGACGGUACCUGGAGAAGAAGCACCGGCUAACUACGUG
rnacentral:rRNA from 1 species